rnacentral:rRNA from 1 species
UACGUAGGGGGGCUAGCGUUGUCCGGAAUCAUUGGGCGUAAAGAGCGUGUAGGCGGCCCGGUAAGUCCGCUGUAAAAGUCAAAGGCUCAACCUUUGAAUGUCAGUGGAUACUGCCGGGCUAGAGUCCGGAAGAGGCGAGUGGAAUUCCUGGUGUAGCGGUGAAAUGCGCAGAUAUCAGGAGGAACACCAAUGGCGAAGGCAGCUCGCUGGGACGGUACUGACGCUGAGACGCGAAAGCGUGGGGAGCAAACAGG